CCCCUUCAGCAGUGUUAGAGUGACCGCGUCAGUGAGAGGAAGCCGGUGUGAUUCCGGCGCUGACCCGCAACCGUGACGGCAUCGCCGAAGCCGGGAACUCACCCUGACAGACCACAGGUA
rnacentral:ncRNA from 2 species